rnacentral:rRNA from 1 species
ACGUGACUGGGCGAAGCCUGACCGCAAUGCCGCGUGCAGGAAGAAGGCCUUCGGGUUGUAAACUGCUUUUGUACGGAACGAAACGGCCUUUUCUAAUAAAGAGGGCUAAUGACGGUACCGUAAGAAUAAGCACCGGCUAACUACGUGCCAGCAGCCGCGGUAAUACGUAGGGUGCGAGCGUUAAUCGGAAUUACUGGGCGUAAAGCGUGCGCAGGCGGUUCUAUAAGACAGAUGUGAAAUCCCCGGGCUCAACCUGGGAAUGGCAUUUGUGACUGUAGAGCUAGAGUACGGUAGAGGGGGAUGGAAUUCCGCGUGUAGCAGUGAAAUGCGUAGAUAUGCGGAGGAACACCGAUGGCGAAGGCAAUCCCCUGGACCUGUACUGACGCUCAUGCACGAAAG